ACAGCUUCUCAUCUUUUGGCUAAAAUCAAGUGUAGCAUGUGUUCUUACCAAUUUAAUAUCUGGUGUGUCCUUUAUCCGACAAUAAUAUAUUCAAUGGAUUUUUUUUUUUUUUGAAACGCACUCUUCUCUGCUACUCCAUGCAUCCACCUGGUACUACAAUGCCUCUGAGAAUGACGUACUUCAU
ensembl:snRNA U2 spliceosomal RNA